GGGGAGAUAGCUCAGUCGGUUAGAGCACCAGUUUGUCACACUGAAGGUCGCGGGUUCAAUUCCCGUUCUUCCC
rnacentral:tRNA from 1 species